rnacentral:rRNA from 1 species
UAGUGAUAGCUGGUUGUUCAGGAAAAGAGUUUUAGCUCUGCCUUAAGUUUUUUUAUUUUACCAAACAAGCCCUUAAACUUAAGAGUUAUUCAAAUUAGGCACAGCUUAUUUGAAACAGGAUACAACCUCCACCACCGGGUAAACAAGGGUAAUCAAAACCAAGUGGGCCUAAAAGCAGCCACCUUCCAAAAAGCGUCAAAGCUUAUCUACUCACCCGCAAUUUCUUAAAUACUCCCCAACCCUUCAUUCCUACUGACCCCUUUUAUACUAUUAUAAAAAUAAUUAUGCUAGAACUAGUAACUAGAAGUCGCCCUUCUCCAUAAUGUAAGUAUAAACCAAAACGGACCCUCCAUUGGUAAUUAACGUAAAUGCAAGCCCCAUAAUAACACAUAACUAGAAAACCUUAUGGCCCUCCACGUUACCCUAACACUAGAACAUUACAGGAAAGAUUAAAAGAGAAAGAAGGAACUCGGCAAAUUUUAACCCCGCCUGUUUACCAAAAACAUCGCCUCUUGAUUAAACAUAAGAGGUCCAGCCUGCCCAGUGACAAAAUUCAACGGCCGCGGUACACUAACCGUGCGAAGGUAGCAUAAUCAUUUGUUCUUUAAAUAAGGACUAGUAUCAACGGCACUACGAGGGUUAUACUGUCUCCUAUCUCUAAUCAGUGAAACUGAUCCCCCCGUGAAGAAGCGGGGAUUUAGCUAUAAGACGAGAAGACCCCAUGGAGCUUUAAACCCAACAUGCACCCCCUCACCUAAACCAGCUUAACCUAGAGGACCUGCGUGUUGGUUUUAGGCUGGGGGGGCCACGGAGUAAAAUUAAACCUCCACAACAAAUGGGCUAACACCCUUAUCCAUGAUUUUACAAAUCUAAGAAUUACCAAAAUAAUGUUUAAUGACCCGAUAAUUCGAUCAAUGAACCAAGUUACCCUGGGGAUAACAGCGCAAUCUACUUCAAGAGCCCUUAUCGACAAGUAGGUUUACGACCUCGAUGUUGGAUCAGGGUAUCCUAGUGGUGCAACCGCUACUAAUGGUUCGUUUGUUCAACGAUUAAAACCCU